UACGUAGGGGGCAAGCGUUGUCCGGAAUUAUUGGGCGUAAAGAGCGUGUAGGCGGUCCGGUAAGUCAGCUGUGAAAGUCAAGGGCUCAACCCUUGAAUGCCGGUUGAUACUGUCGGGCUAGAGUCCGGAAGAGGCGAGUGGAAUUCCCGGUGUAGCGGUGAAAUGCGCAGAUAUCGGGAGGAACACCAAUGGCGAAGGCAGCUCGCUGGGACGGUACUGACGCUGAGACGCGAAAGCAUGGGGAGCAAACGGG
rnacentral:rRNA from 1 species